rnacentral:lncRNA from 1 species
AAUAGAUCAGUGAUUCUUAGUGUAGACGCUAGUCCAAUUGCUGUUGGAUGGGCUGUGGGUCAAGAUGAUUCAGAUGGGAGUAGAUUUGCAGUUCGAUUUGGGGCUAAAGUUUUAAGUAUUCGUCAGCGUGCAUAUUCGUAAGUCAAAAGAGAACUUUGGGGAGUCGUUUCGGCUUUGAAAGCUGAAAAGGACUAUUUGAAU